UACGUAGGGGACGAGCGUUGUCCGGAAUUACUGGGCGUAAAGGGCGCGCAGGCUGCGUUACAAGUCAGCUGUUAAAUGCAUGGGCUUACCCCAUGAGUGCGGUUGAAACUGUAGUGCUAGAGUACUGUAGAGGCAAGCGGAAUUCCCAGUGUAGCGGUGAAAUGCGUAGAUAUUGGGAGGAACACCGGUGGCGUAGGCGGCUUGCUGGACAGUAACUGACGCUGAGGCGCGAAAGCCAGGGGAGCAAACGGGAUUAGAUACCCCCGUAGU
rnacentral:rRNA from 1 species